rnacentral:rRNA from 1 species
UACGGAGGGUGCAAGCGUUAAUCGGAAUUACUGGGCGUAAAGCGCACACAGGCGGUCUGUCAAGUCGGAUGUGAAAUCCCCGGGCUCAACCUGGGAACUGCAUUCGAAACUGGCAGGCUUGAGUCUCGUAGAGGGGGGUAGAAUUCCAGGUGUAGCGGUGAAAUGCGUAGAGAUCUGGAGGAAUACCGGUGGCGAAGGCGGCCCCCUGGACGAAGACUGACGCUCAGGUGCGAAAGCGUGGGGAGCAAACAGG